CAAGUCUGGAGGAGCAAAGUGUAAGU
rnacentral:piRNA from 1 species